UACGUAGGGUGCAAGCGUUGUCCGGAAUUAUUGGGCGUAAAGAGCUCGUAGGCGGUUUGUCGCGUCUGCUGUGAAAACUCAGGGCUUAACUCUGAGCUUGCAGUGGGUACGGGCAGACUAGAGUGCGGUAGGGGAGACUGGGAAUUCCUGGUGUAGCGGUGAAAUGCGCAGAUAUCAGGAGGGAACACCCGGUGGGCGAAAGGCGGGUCUCUGGGCCGUAACUGACGCUGGAGGAGCGAAAGCAUGGGGGAGCGAACAGG
rnacentral:rRNA from 1 species